GACGAACGCUGGCGGCAUGCCUAACACAUGCAAGUCGAGCGAGCAGAUCCCUUCGGGGUGAAGCUAGCGGCGGACGGGUGAGUAACACGUGGGCAACCUGCCUCAUAGAGGGGAAUAGCCUUCCGAAAGGAAGAUUAAUACCGCAUAAGAUUGUAGCUUCGCAUGGAGCAGCAAUUAAAGGAGCAAUCCGCUAUGAGAUGGGCCCGCGGCGCAUUAGCUAGUUGGUGAGGUAACGGCUCACCAAGGCGACGAUGCGUAGCCGACCUGAGAGGGUGAUCGGCAACAUUGGGACUGAGACACGGCCCAGACUCCUACGGGAGGCAGCAGUGGGGAAUAUUGCACAAUGGGGGAAACCCUGAUGCAGCAAUGCCGCGUGAGUGAUGACGGCCUUCGGGUUGUAAAGCUCUGUCUUCGGGGACGAUAAUGACGGUACCCGAGGAGGAAGCCACGGCUAACUACGUGCCAGCCGCCGCCGUAA
rnacentral:rRNA from 1 species